rnacentral:rRNA from 1 species
AGUGAACGCUGGCGGUAGGCCUAACACAUGCAAGUCGAACGGCAGCACAGUAAGAGCUUGCUCUUACGGGUGGCGAGUGGCGGACGGGUGAGGAAUACAUCGUAAUCUACUUUUUCGUGGGGGAUAACGUAGGGAAACUUACGCUAAUACCGCAUACGACCUACGGUUGAAAGCAGGGGAUCUUCGGACCUUGCGCGAUUGAAUGAGCCGAUGUCGGAUUAGCUAGUUGGCGGGGUAAAGGCCCACCAAGGCGACGAUCCGUAGCUGGUCUGAGAGGAUGAUCAGCCACACUGGAACUGAGACAGGGUCCAGGGUCCUACGGUAGGCAGCAGUGGGGAAUGUUGGACAAUGGGGGCAAGCCUGAUCCAGCCAUACCGCGUGGGUGAAGAAGGCCUUCGGGUUGUAAAGCCCUUUUGUUGGGAAAGAAAAGCAGCAGGUUAAUACCCCGCUGUUCUGACGGUACCCAAAGAAUAAGCACCGGCUAACUUCGUG